AAGGACACAAAUUUUGUUUCAGAAGAGGUUGAACGCAGCAAGACAAGAGACUGCGGGGAAAAAAAAACAGGAGCGUUUGGGAAGUCCUACAACAAAGCUAAGAUGACGAGACAACUGGUUGCUCAAAGGCGACGCAAGAGGCUAUUUCACGCUCUGCAAAGUUGCCGCCGCAGACUACGUUUGGACAGUCAACUGAGCUCCCGUGUGGUGGGAUGUGAUUGUUCCUGUCUUCCCUACAACUCAGAGCAGUGGGCAGCUGCA